GGGUUGUGAGGUUAAGCGACUAAGCGUACACGGUGGAUGCCCUGGCAGUCAGAGGCGAUGAAGGACGUGCUAAUCUGCGAAAAGCGUCGGUAAGGUGAUAUGAACCGUUAUAACCGGCGAUGUCCGAAUGGGGAAACCCAGUGCAAUUCGUUGCACUAUCGUUAACUGAAUACAUAGGUUAACGAGGCGAACCGGGGGAACUGAAACAUCUAAGUACCCCGAGGAAAAGAAAUCAACCGAGAUUCCCCCAGUAGCGGCGAGCGAACGGGGAGCAGCCCAGAGUCUGAAUCAGCUUGUGUGUUAGUGGAACGGUCUGGAAAGUCCGACGGUACAGGGUGAUAGUCCCGUACACCAAAAUGCACAGGCUGUGAACUCGAAGAGUAGGGCGGGACACGUGGUAUCCUGUCUGAAUAUGGGGGGACCAUCCUCCAAGGCUAAAUACUCCUGACUGACCGAUAGUGAACCAGUACCGUGAGGGAAAGGCGAAAAGAACCCCGGCGAGGGGAGUGAAAAAGAACCUGAAACCGUGUACGUACAAGCAGUGGGAGCACCUUCGGGUGUGACUGCGUACCUUUUGUAUAAUGGGUCAGCGACUUAUAUUCUGUAGCAAGGUUAACCGUAUAGGGGAGCCGCAGGGAAACCGAGUCUUAACUGGGCGUUAAGUUGCAGGGUAUAGACCC
rnacentral:rRNA from 1 species